rnacentral:rRNA from 1 species
UACGUAGGGUGCAAGCGUUGUCCGGAAUUAUUGGGCGUAAAGAGCUUGUAGGCGGUUUGUCGCGUCUGCUGUGAAAUUUCGGGGCUCAACCCCGAACUUGCAGUGGGUACGGGCAGACUAGAGUGUGGUAGGGGAGACUGGAAUUCCUGGUGUAGCGGUGAAAUGCGCAGAUAUCAGGAGGAACACCCGUAGCGAAGGCGGCACUCUGGGCCGAUACUGACACUGAGGAGCGAAAGCGUGGGGAGCGAACAGG